rnacentral:rRNA from 1 species
UACGGAGGGAGCUAGCGUUGUUCGGAAAUACUGGGCGUAAAGCGCACGUAGGCGGCGCAGCAAGUCAGGGGUGAAAUCCCGGGGCUCAACCCCGGAACUGCCCUUGAAACUGCAGUGCUAGAAUUCUGGAGAGGCGAGUGGAAUUCCGAGUGUAGAGGUGAAAUUCGUAGAUAUUCGGAAGAACACCAGUGGCGAAGGCGGCGCUCUGGACCGAGACUGACGCUGAGGCGCGAAAGCGUGGGGAGCAAACAGG